rnacentral:rRNA from 1 species
GAUGAACGCUGGCGGCGUGCCUAACACAUGCAAGUCGAACGGAGAUUACGGACGGAGGUGUUCGGAUGGACGUCUGGAAUUCUAAGUGGCGGACGGGUGAGUAACACCUGGGCGACCUGCGCUAUACUGGGGGAUAGCAGCUGCAGACGGCUGAUAUGACCCCAUAAGUUGGUUAAAUGGCAUGUUUGGUACGUGAUAUGGGCAAUGAGGAAUAGGAUGGGCCCGCGUCCGAUUAGCCAGUUGGCAGGGUAAAAGCCUACCAAAGCGACGAUCGGUAGCCGGACUGAGAGGACGGUCGGCCACAUUGGGACUGAGACACGGCCCAAACUCCUACGGGAGGCAGCAGUGGGGGAUAUUGCACAAUGGAGGAAAGUCUGAUGCAGCGACGCCGCGUGAGUGAAGAAGUAUUUAGGUAUGUAAAGCUCUAUUAGCAGGGAAGAUGAUGACGGUACCUGAAGAAGAAGCCCCGGCUAACUACGUG